CACGUUAAAGCUCUCAUCUUUUCAUGAUGAAGUGAAGAUGUGGGUGUUUGAAUAAAUAUUGCCUUGUGGUGAAAAACUCACAGAUGCCAUCAAUCGAACCAAUGAAAAUGUGAAAUAUUUACCGGGGAUUAAGCUUGGGCAUAAUGUUGUUGCUGGCCCAGAUCUUGAAAAUGCCGGUAUCGUUUGAAUGUAAAAGGUAGCUUGGGUGUUCUUAUUCAUUGAUAUAUUUGUUGGAAAAAUAUUGUCAGAAGCAUUUAUGGGUCAGAUGAUACACUCCAGGUUAGAUGUUUAUAUACAUGAUUAUUUGGUAACGAGAGAUUUGAAAGCUUCUGCUCAGGCAUUUCAAGCUGAAGGAAAAGUCUCAUCUGACCCUGUUGCUAUUGACGCCACCGGUGACUUUCUUUUUGACUUUGCAUCAACAUGCUAUUUAUAAAGACUACCACAACUCUCAUAUUUCAACAUCCAAAAUUACAUUCUUGCAUUUUACUAUUUUGCUUGUCAAACUCUCAACUCAUGGAGCACGGUAAGAUCACCUAUUUGAAGGACUUGGAUUUGGCUCGUCGUGUUUACACUGUGAAGGUUCGUAUACUCCGGUUAUGGAAGCAACCCAUGUAUAACAAUCCAAAAUAGUUUUACUCGAUCGAAAUGAUUGUGGUUGACGAACAGGGAACAAAGAUGCAAGCCAAUGUUAUCCGAAGAUGGUUUCCCAAGUUUGAGCAUCUUUUAAAUGAAUUAGGUAACAUGUUUCAAGAGUUACAAGACGAGAUGGCCUCAAAGUUGUUAUGUUAGAUAGUGAUGGUAACCUU